rnacentral:lncRNA from 1 species
UUCUCCUCUUGGGUGAGUGAAAACCUAGAUCUGAUCUAGGGUUUUGGGUGAAAAAAAAAAUAAAAGAGAGAAGAGAGUCUUCCUCCUUCCUUCUAUCACUAGAUUCUCUUUGUCCAUCUUCACAUUUUGGAGGAGUCUGUGAGAUCCAAAGAUGGAUGUAAAAUCAGCCAUCAGAAGAUCGUCACACGAGCUAACACUUUCAGGGU